rnacentral:rRNA from 1 species
UUUAUUGGAGAGUUUGAUCCUGGCUCAGGAUGAACGCUGGCGGCGUGCCUAAUACAUGCAAGUCGAGCGAAUGGAUUGAGAGCUUGCUCUCAAGAAGUUAGCGGCGGACGGGUGAGUAACACGUGGGUAACCURCCCAUAAGACUGGGAUAACUCCGGGAAACCGGGGCUAAUACCGGAUAACAUUUUGAACUGCAUGGUUCGAAAUUGAAAGGCGGCUUCGGCUGUCACUUAUGGAUGGACCCGCGUCGCAUUAGCUAGUUGGUGAGGUAACGGCUCACCAAGGCAACGAUGCGUAGCCGACCUGAGAGGGUGAUCGGCCACACUGGGACUGAGACACGGCCCAGACUCCUACGGGAGGCAGCAGUAGGGAAUCUUCCGCAAUGGACGAAAGUCUGACGGAGCAACGCCGCG